CAAAAAAAACCCAAAAAUCACAGAGCUGUAUUUUUCCAAUGCAGAAAAGAAGUGAUUGUCAGCAAUUACAAGUACAUCCAUAAUUAAUAUGUGAAAAGAAUCCAGGGGGGAGUGGAAGGUGAGGGGCGCCUACAUGGGGUUCAUGACCACGUUCUGCCUCCUUCUGUUUGUUUUCUUUAAAUAAAUUUCCCACGAUGAAAUGGUGGGGCGCCUGGGUGGCUCAGUCAGUUAAGCCACCGACUUCAGC